rnacentral:tRNA from 1 species
GCCUGGGUGGCUCAGUUGGUUGGGCUUCUGACUUCGGUUCAGGUCAUGAUCUCACGGUGUGUGGGUUCGAGCCCCGCGUCAGGCU